rnacentral:rRNA from 1 species
CCAGGAUGUUGGCUUAGAAGCAGCCAUCAUUUAAAGAAAGCGUAAUAGCUCACUGGUCGAGUCGGCCUGCGCGGAAGAUGUAACGGGGCUAAACCAUGCACCGAAGCUGCGGCAGCGACACUGUGUGUUGUUGGGUAGGGGAGCGUUCUGUAAGCCUGUGAAGGUGUGUCGUGAGGCAUGCUGGAGGUAUCAGAAGUGCGAAUGCUGACAUAAGUAACGAUAAAGCGGGUGAAAAGCCCGCUCGCCGGAAGACCAAGGGUUCCUGUCCAACGUUAAUCGGGGCAGGGUGAGUCGACCCCUAAGGCGAGGCCGAAAGGCGUAGUCGAUGGGAAACGGGUUAAUAUUCCCGUACUUGGUGUUACUGCGAAGGGGGGACGGAGAAGGCUAUGUUGGCCGGGCGACGGUUGUCCCGGUUUAAGCGUGUAGGUGUGUGUUCCAGGUAAAUCCGGUUCACUUUAACACUGAGGCGUGACGACGAGGCACUACGGUGCUGAAGCAACAAAUGCCCUGCUUCCAGGAAAAGCCUCUAAGCAUCAGGUAACAUCAAAUCGUACCCCAAACCGACACAGGUGGUCAGGUAGAGAAUACCAAGGCGCUUGAGAGAACUCGGGUGAAGGAACUAGGCAAAAUGGUGCCGUAACUUCGGGAGAAGGCACGCUGACACGUAGGUGAAGUGAUUUACUCAUGGAGCUGAAGUCAGUCGAAGAUACCAGCUGGCUGCAACUGUUUAUUAAAAACACAGCACUGUGCAAACACGAAAGUGGACGUAUACGGUGUGACGCCUGCCCGGUGCCGGAAGGUUAAUUGAUGGGGUCAGCGCAAGCGAAGCUCCUGAUCGAAGCCCCGGUAAACGGCGGCCGUAACUAUAACGGUCCUAAGGUAGCGAAAUUCCUUGUCGGGUAAGUUCCGACCUGCACGAAUGGCGUAAUGAUGGCCAGGCUGUCUCCACCCGAGACUCAGUGAAAUUGAACUCGCUGUGAAGAUGCAGUGUACCCGCGGCAAGACGGAAAGACCCCGUGAACCUUUACUAUAGCUUGACACUGAACAUUGAGCCUUGAUGUGUAGGAUAGGUGGGAGGCUUUGAAGUGUGGACGCCAGUCUGCAUGGAGCCGACCUUGAAAUACCACCCUUUAAUGUUUGAUGUUCUAACGUGGACCCGUUACCCGGGUUGCGGACAGUGUCUGGUGGGUAGUUUGACUGGGGCGGUCUCCUCCUAAAGAGUAACGGAGGAGCACGAAGGUUGGCUAAUCCUGGUCGGACAUCAGGAGGUUAGUGCAAUGGCAUAAGCCAGCUUGACUGCGAGCGUGACGGCGCGAGCAGGUGCGAAAGCAGGUCAUAGUGAUCCGGUGGUUCUGAAUGGAAGGGCCAUCGCUCAACGGAUAAAAGGUACUCCGGGGAUAACAGGCUGAUACCGCCCAAGAGUUCAUAUCGACGGCGGUGUUUGGCACCUCGAUGUCGGCUCAUCACAUCCUGGGGCUGAAGUAGGUCCCAAGGGUAUGGCUGUUCGCCAUUUAAAGUGGUACGCGAGCUGGGUUUAGAACGUCGUGAGACAGUUCGGUCCCUAUCUGCCGUGGGCGCUGGAGAACUGAGGGGGGCUGCUCCUAGUACGAGAGGACCGGAGUGGACGCAUCACUGGUGUUCGGGUUGUCAUGCCAAUGGCACUGCCCGGUAGCUAAAUGCGGAAGAGAUAAGUGCUGAAAGCAUCUAAGCACGAAACUUGCCCCGA